CUGGAAUUGUGUUUCUUCUGAUGCUGAUUGGGCUCAACUUGUGAGAGCUAGAUGUAUUCGUAAUGGUCAUCCUAUUCGUUAUCAUAUAUCUUCCUCUAUUUGGAGUGGUGUGAAGAAUCACAUUACAUCUGUUAGGGAGCAUAGCUUCUGGCUUCUUGGAGAUGGCUCUCGGAUAAACUUUUGGACUGACAAAUGGCUUCAAGACUCGUCCAUAGCCGAUAUUAUUCAGAUUCCUCCCAAUG
rnacentral:lncRNA from 1 species